GCCAGCAUGUCGUAGUGGUUUGCGUGUUGGAUUUCAGCUCUGGAGACCAGGGUUUGAUUCCCAGUUUGGCC